rnacentral:rRNA from 1 species
AACGCUGGCGGCAUGCCUAAGACAUGCAAGUCGAACGAGGUGGCCACAGAUUGAUAUUGAAAAUGGAGUGCUUGCACAAAGUCGGAUUUAUCUUGACGUGGAUUUCCACCUAGUGGCAAACGGGUGAGUAACACAUGGGUUACCUGCCUCUAAGUUGGGGAUAACAGUUGGAAACGAUUGCUAAUACCGAAUGUCGAUCUACGGAUUAAAGUUCCCCUUAAAGGAACGCUUAGAGAUGGGCCUGUGGCGUAUUAGCUUGUUGGUGGGGUAAUGGCCUACCAAGGCAACGAUGCGUAGCCGAGCUGAGAGGCUAAUCGGCCACACUGGGACUGAGACACGGCCCAGACUCCUACGGGAGACAGCAGUUAGGAAUAUUCGUCAAUGGGGGAAACCCUGAACGAGCAAUGCCGCGUGAGUGAUGACGGCCCUCUGGGUUGUAAAACUCUGUUGUUUGGAAAGAACUGUAAAAAUAGGAAAUGAUUUUUACUUGACGGUACCAUUCAAGAAAGCUCCGGCUAACUACGUGCCAGCCGCCGC